rnacentral:lncRNA from 13 species
AUGGCCUCUACCCCAUGUCAGCACAGCCUCUACCCCUUGUCAGCAUGGCCUCUACCCCAUGUCGGCAUGGCCUCUACCCCUUGUCAGCAUGGCCUCUACCCCAUGUCAGCAUGGCCUCUACCCCUUGUCAGCAUGGCCUCUACCCCAUGUCAGCACAGCCUCUACCCCUUGUCAGCAUGGCCUCUACCCCAUGUCAGCACGGCCUCUUCCCCUUGUGGGCACGGCCUCUACCCCAUGUCAGCAUGGCCUCUACCCCUUGUCAGCAUGGCCUCUACCCCAUGUCGGCACGGCCUCUACCCCAUGUCAGCAUGGCCUCUACCCCUUGUCAGCAUGGCCUCUACCCCAUGUCGGCACGGCCUCUACCCCAUGUCAGCAUGGCCUCUACCCCAUGUCGGCACGGCCUCUACCCCAUGUCAGCACGGCCUCUACCCCAUGUCGGCACAGCCUCUACCCCAUGUCAGCACGGCCUCUACCCCAUGUCGGCACGGCCUCUACCCCAUGUCGGCACGGCCUCUUCCCCUUGUCGGCACGGCCGCUACCCCAUGUCGGCACGGCCUCUACCCCAUGUCAGCACAGCCUCUACCCCAUGUCAGCACGGCCUCUACCCCAUGUCGGCACGGCCUCUACCCCAUGUCGGCACGGCCUCUUCCCCUUGUCGGCACGGCCUCUACCCCAUGUCGGCACGGCCGCUACCCCAUGUCGGCACGGCCUCUACCCCAUGUCGGCACGGCCUCUUCCCCUUGUGGGCACGGCCUCUACCCCAUGUCGGCACGGCCUCUUCCCCUUGUGGGCACGGCCUCUACCCCAUGUCGGCACGGCCUCUACCCCUUGUCGGCACGGCCUCUACCCCUUUGUUUUUCUAUCACCCAAGCAUCACUUCUUCUCACCUGUCAUCUCCUGUCCCCCUGCAUCCUGAUCAAGCUGGAACUUGUAUGUCAACUUUACUCCUAUUGUAGAACCAAGGAAUUUUUUCUCUGGUCUCUUUCUUCAGGAAAUAGGCAAAUAAGAUGA